GCUUAGCCGUAAAAUUUGAUAGUAAUAUACAACUACUGUCCGCCAGGGGACUACAAGCGACAGCUUAAAACCCAAAGGACUUGGCGGUGCCUCAGACCCACCUAGAGGAGCCUGUUCUGGAACCGAUGACCCCCGUUCAACCUCACCUCCCCUUGUUUACCCCGCCUAUAUACCGCCGUCGUCAGCAUACCCUGUGAAGGAAAUAUAGUAUGCACAAUGGGUAAAUCCCAAAACGUCAGGUCGAGGUGUAGCGUAUGGGGAGGGAAGAAAUGGGCUACAUUCUCUAACCUAGAGUAUUACGGAGGGGGCUGUGAAACCAGCCCCUGAAGGGGGAUUUAGCAGUAGAUAGGAAAUAGAGCGUCCUAUCGAAACUGGCUCUGAAGCGCGC
rnacentral:rRNA from 1 species